UUCAAAAGAAACUACACGUUGAUAAAGCUGCAGGACACCGACCAACGGAAGCUCAUGACAAAGAUGCGAGCUGGCAGAAUUGUCCGCUCCCUAUUGGCCCAUCCUCUCGUCUUCUUCAUGCUGCAGUCAAAAGGAGAAAUCCGAGCAUCUUGUAAUCUCUUUUUCUUGUUCCAAUUGGCCAGUCGGGUCACCUGCUGUUCUCUCGUGUUCUUUGUCUGUCUUCCAUUCUCUUUUGAUGCGACUCAUGGAUUUCAUGGGACUAACAAUUGGUGAUAGAUUUUUUCAAACAAAAUCUAUCAAAUUUGAUGUCGGAAUAAUACAUUAAGUAUAUAUAUAUAUAUAUAUAUAUAUAAUCCUUUCACUCCUCCCAUCCAAAUAUUAUUCCUGGAUUCUGGCGAUCUACGACCACUUAAGUAGGAUCUUAGAAGGAACAGCUGUGUCGCUUUGCUUCGGCUGUAGCCGUCCAAUAUCAUCAUUAGCGCAGGUAUGAAAGCGAAGCGUGUCGGUCAACCGAAGGUUCGAACUGCAAGGUGAUGUAUAUAUACCGGCACCGCAGCUCGAUCCCCUCUCCAUCAGACGACUCUCCCAUCAUCUCCUUCCACAGACCUCUCUUGUAGCUUUCGGCAGCAGCCAUGGAGUACCGGGUGGCCGAGAGCAACACGAGAAAGGGAAGAAGGCCUCCGCCGAGGCGAGGGCAAGUGAAAGCCAGGAUUUUGGGGAGUUUAGUCCGCGCGGUCAUCCCGAAGGCCUUCUUCGGGAACGGGGAGAAGGCCAAGGAAGACGGCGGCGGCGGCAGCUCCUCCGCCAACAUCACUCCCACGUUGAGCGGCUACAGUUCGAGCUACGAGGGCGAGUAGCACAGGAUUCGCCGGCCGUGUCUUGUGUGUGUAUGUACAGACAGCCAUAGCUCUGCAGGAGGGGGAGAUGGAUGGAAGGGGGCACGCACCCGACUCUACAAUUUCUGCACCACAUUUCUCCGAGCAGAGCGAUGGCAAGGCAGUGUCAUAUGAACCCUAUCUUUUUUGCCUGUGUUGUUGUAAGAGCGGUUGGUUCUGUGGCAAGAUUUGAGGCUGUUGUUUACCCUCUCUCUCUCUCUCUCUCUCUCUCUCUCUCUCUCUUCUUUUGCUACCAUUGUCGCUCCACCGGUUGUUGAUCCCUCCGCGUCUCUGCAUUUUUCAAGACUGCUUCGGUUUCAUUCC